GGAGAACACUGAGGCCAGUGUUGACUGGUGCCCACAGGUGCUGAUGGGAUGGAGUGCAAGACAGCUAAUGGUCGUCAGAGCUAAGAUUAACAAUAGGCAUAGCUAACAGUCAGUGGAGUGAUCAGCAGCCUGGAGUGGCAUGCAUGCCCACCCCGAGUCUUCCAACCCUAUAAGGAAAAAAAGAAUAGUUUCCACCAAGUCUAAGAAAAUAAACUCAUAACAAAAGUUUUGACACAUGGAAUGACACAUGGCAAGGAACAUAUCUUGUUGCACUGCUUCAGAAAAAUGGAAGCAUCAUGUUUCAGAUAUUAACAUCACAACACAAAGAAAUCAUCCAAGCCUACUGUACGCGGAGGUGGAGCUGUCUGGAUCAUUUCCAUAGCUGUAAGAACACAAGAAGCAUCUUGCUGCAGCAGAUCAAGGGACAUCCAAUCCAGUGGACAGUUUCCAACAAUGGAAAGCCAGAUGCUGCUGGCAAACCAAUAAGUGGAUUCUGGAGGUCUAGCAGACCACUGUUUGUCUGAGCAUCUUGUACUCAGAGAUAAACUGCUUCUACUCAUGUACUUUUUGUUCAAUUAAUAGGUCCAUUGUGGCCAUUUCAUAGCAUCAUAGAAUUUUGAAAUCUUCUGAUCCAACCCCUUGUUAGUGCAGAAAACUUGAAAGACCUAUCCACUAUGAAGCUCUCAAAAGCCAAUUAAGCUAGAAUCCAGCAUCACAUCUUAUGGAAAUUAAUUUGAUAUAUUAAAUCUGUUUUCUUUUGGUUUU